rnacentral:lncRNA from 1 species
AUAAUGUAGCUUAUAAGUUAGUAAUUUUUUUAGUCUCAGUUUGAUUUACUUACAUAUAAAGGUAGAAGUGCACAAAUGGCCUGCGGCAUGUGGCCUGUCCUUGGUUCGUCUUGAGCCUGGCCUAGUCAAAGCCCAACCCGAUUUAGGCCAACUUGCAAGGCCGCAUACAGACCAUGAUUUUUCGCCUCAUAUCCAGCUUGCCCUGGCUUAUGG